AGAGAAAUAGCUCAGUGGCAGAGCACUUGCCUAGCAUGUAUGAGACCUUGGGUUCAAUCCCCAGUAUUGCAG
rnacentral:tRNA from 1 species